CCUACGGGAGGCUGCAGUGGGGAAUAUUGCGCAAUGGGCGAAAGCCUGACGCAGCGACGCCGCGUGAGGGAUGAAGGUUUUCGGAUCGUAAACCUCUGUCAGAAGGGAAGAAACUACAUUGUGCUAAUCAGCAGUGUACUGACGGUACCUUCAAAGGAAGCACCGGCUAACUCCGUGCCAGCAGCCGCGGUAAUACGGAGGGUGCAAGCGUUAAUCGGAAUUACUGGGCGUAAAGCGCACGUAGGCUGUAUUGUAAGUCAGGGGUGAAAUCCCACGGCUCAACCGUGGAACUGCCUUUGAUACUGCACAACUUGAAUCCGGGAGAGGGUGGCGGAAUUCCAGGUGUAGGAGUGAAAUCCGUAGAUAUCUGGAGGAACAUCAGUGGCGAAGGCGGCCACCUGGACCGGUAUUGACGCUGAGGUGCGAAAGCGUGGGGAGCAAACAGGCUUAGAUACCCGGGUAGUC
rnacentral:rRNA from 1 species